rnacentral:pre_miRNA from 3 species
UAUGGCACUGGUAGAAUUCACUGUGCAACCCCGCGGUCAGUGAAUUACCAUAGGGCCAUAAA